rnacentral:rRNA from 1 species
CGGGGGGCGUGAGAUUUGGACAUGGGCGCAGCCUGAUCCAGCCAUGCCGCGUGCAGGAAUAAGGUCCUAUGGAUUGUAAACUGCUUUUAUACAGGAAGAAACACACCCUCGUGAGGGUACUUGACGGUACUGUAUGAAUAAGGACCGGCUAACUCCGUGCCAGCAGCCGCGGUAAU